CUCAGCUAGAAAGAAGAGUAAACGAGUGAAAAUCAGCUCAGAGUGAGAAAGAAAAAAGCAGCUUUGCUAUUAAUUGGGCUGAGGUGACGGGCACAGAUAAAAACAAACGUGAAAUUAACAGGAAAUACUGUUUCUCCCAAAGUCAUACAGCAGCUGUAAAAUACCAAAAAGAGACCAUCUUCUCGUUACUACUGCUUUCUUGCCAAUGACCCUAGACCCACUUUACCAUUUACAUCUAUUACUAUUUUCAUCUGUUACAUCUAAUUCAUCUAUUACUUCCAACUGCUAAGAUGCCCCUGCUAUUACAUACAUAGGGGUGCACCCAUGUCCCCAUCCUUCACAUACUCCAGCUUCACUCCUGCCUUGAAUCCACCUGUGCGUCCCGCCUCUCCACCGUCGUUUGAAAUCCACUAAAUCCCGCCCCGCUGCUAUGCACGCUCCCCAUAGGACCCAGACGCAGCUCUCACAGUCCCCAUUGGUCCUAUCCUCACUUGAACACCAAUCUAGAAUCCUCCACCAUCCAUCCAAUUCUAUAGAGCACGGCCCUUCUCUUCUCAUUGGCCAGUUUGGUUCCACUCAGGUUCGCCCCAUCCACGGAGGGGUGGUAAAGGCAGUGCUCCGGGGUACUGGAGCAGCGGGAGUCUCAGGUAUGAGUCUAUUCUCGGGACUAGGAAGGUUACAACUUGGGCGAUCUUUCUACGUGCAGAGCGAGGCAUUCCAAGCGAUCUAUAAGAUUCUUCAUUCCCAGGUGUUUGCAGUUACCUACCACAUUCAUCCAGCAUCUGUACCCUGUCCCUCCUGAUGUGACCACCUGGAAAUGCCUUUUUCCAAGCAGCCUGGGGGACACGAUGUACCUUUCAAAACCACUUUACCAUGGCUGCACAGCAUGUAAGUGUCGAGGUUUCCUGGUAUUGCAAGGCUGAAGGGUGCUUGUCUCAUGGAGUCCAAGAAUGAAUCUUGCGGACAAAAGGGUAAAGUGAAGUGAAAGCUUAUUAAGUGAAGGUGAGAACAGGAAGGAAAGAAAAAAAAGCUCUUUAGAGUGAGAGGGGUCCAGAAUGGGUUGCUACUGAGGGCUUUUGUGGAGGGUAGUUUAUAGAAAACUGACCAGGGAACUUGGUAACAUACCUUGUCUAUAACAUUUAAGACAAACCAGGUGGAUUUGUUAUGCUCCUUCCUCUCUGGUUAAUAUCUUGUCUGUAACAUUUCUCCACAUCUGGGAUUUCUGUGAGCCACUCCCUGUCUCUCCCUACCUAGCCUCACCUCUCCCUUACUCUAUGGCUAUAAACCCCUCCAGGAAGGGAAAUCUCUGAGGGGUGAUUUGGGGGGAGGAUUGGAGAAGCCAGAUGUAGAUCUAGAUUGGGUGCUGUCAGGAAGCAGGGCUAUCGGAAACCUAUAUGGUGGAGAGAAUGAAGAGAAACUGCAACUAAUUGGUAGAGAAGCAUGAGUCACUCAUAUGAAGUAACAAAGGUGGGGGGGUGAUCAUUUUGGGGGUUUGGGCAAGAUUCAGGUCUUUGUUGUCAGCCGUGAUGAGAGAUUUUGUCUUGAUCCGUCACAGUCCUAGAAGGACUUGGUCUGUCUGCAAAAUUGUUCUGGUUCAGCAGGUGAACACCAAGGCCCAGCUGUGUCCAGCCAGCUUCCUGGCCUCAGGGGCUGCCCUGUUCUCACCAGCAUCCCAGAAUUUCCCUCCUGUCUACCACCAGUAACCGCACCCCCCCAAAGGUAACCAUUACCCUGAGUUCUCUUAGGUUAGUUUAGUUGUGUCUGUGUAAUGGUAUCAUGUGGUAUAUUCUCUUUGCCCUCAGCCUUCCAGCCAGCAUUAUCUUUAUAAGAUUCAC
rnacentral:lncRNA from 1 species